rnacentral:rRNA from 1 species
GGGCCCGCACAAGCGGUGGAGCAUGUGGUUUAAUUCGAUGAUACGCGAGGAACCUUACCAGGGCUUAAAUGUAACGGGACAGAUCUAGAGAUAGAUCCUUCUUCGGACUCAUUACAAGGUGCUGCAUGGUUGUCGUCAGCUCGUGCCGUGAGGUGUCAGGUUAAGUCCUAUAACGAGCGCAACCCCCAUCGUUAGUUGCCAACGAGUAAUGUCGGGAACUCUAACGAAACUGCCGGUGCAAACCGUGAGGAAGGUGGGGAUGACGUCAAAUCAUCACGGCCCUUACGUCCUGGGCUACACACGUGCUACAAUGGUCGGUACAGAGAGCAGCCACUACGCGAGUAGGAGCAAAUCUUCAAAGCCGAUCUCAGUUCGGAUCGGAGUCUGCAACUCGACUCCGUG